GGAAGUUAAAUCAUAAUGACUAUGUAAAGGUGAUAAUACCACAGUUCUUGUAUAAUAUAUAUGCAUACAAGCAUGUACCUAAAAUGAAAUUGAGACCGAUGAGGUCAUAAAUAUUGCUCAUGUGACAGAAAAUCAUAAAAAAAAAUUCUAAGAUGUUUUCAUCUAUUGGGGCUUAGCAAACAUUUAAAGCUAUCAUCAAAUUCACAAAAAGGCCUCUAUCAUUCUCAUCCCAAGCAUAACGAGUACUCUAUACUCCUGUCCACAUUUCUUCGAAUUAAACAAAUUUAUAGGAACACAAGGGAAUGCUUGCAUUUUGAACUGCAGGAUCUUUUUGAAUCCACUACCAUAUUAUUCUCGGAUGUCUCCAAGUAUUUCAGCCAAAACGUUAAUUCUUGGAUCAAAUGGAGUAUCAACAAGCCUAUACCAAUGACAAUAAUAAUUCUUCUCAACAACAGAGUAUAAAACCAAAUUUCUCUAAACUGAAAUUUUUCUAGGAACAAAAUAGAACAACAACAGUGAAGUCAAACAUAUUUUAAAAUCCAAAAUAGAUUCUAGAGAUAAUAAAUAGCCGUUAAUGCUUUUCUAACCCCACAUCUAACAAACAGGAACUCAAAUGGGACAAUAGAAUUUUUUCCCAUUCUAAAGAAACAACAAUACCCAUUAAAAUAAAGUAUCAUAACUUUAAUAAGAUUUCAAACCCAAUCAUCAGCGAACCCCAUUUAAACCAAUAAUCAAAAUUCAUCAAAGUGCCAUCUUCAAAUAAUGAACCACUUAACAAGUAGGAAACCCAUUUUAGUUAGAGCAAAAGAAGGACAUUUUUAUUUAGAUUCUCAACAUAUUCAUAGGAUGGAAAACCUUAAGCAUUUUAACAUACAUCGAAAACUUGAAGACUUAAUCAACAUAACAUAUCUUCAAUAUUAAGACAUCCGGCAGCAUUAUACUAGAGAUAGUAUAAAAAAAAAAAAAAAACAACCAAAUUGGUUUCUAAAACCUCAAAAGAAUCCAUAACAAUAGAAAUUCAAUAAAUAUUAAGCUUCUUGUAAACAAUGAACGAUUUGGAAACCUAAAACACCCAUUAAAAUAAGAAAAGCCACAUUCCUUUUUACCAUAUCAAAGCCUAACAAAUGCAUAUAAAUCCUCAACAAUAGACAAUAUUGCAAGGGGGAAGCUGAAUAGUAUAACUCAGUGAAAAUUUUAUACCCACCCAGGACUGGACGUGUCUCCCUUGUUGAAGAUCUGAACAACACUCGAUAACCUUAUGGUGGACAAUGGUUGGAAGGUAGUGGUAACAUAGAAGGAUCAAUUGAUGGCACUAGAAAUCGAUGAUAAGCAAGAGGAGGAGUUGCUGGCAGUGCUUGAGUUUAAUGGUGUGCAGCCAGCUGAUGAGUGGAAAAUAGGCCUGCAAGAUGUUGGAGGAAAUCGGCAAGAAUCACAAGACACUAUAGAUGCGUCUGAUAAACAAGAAGCUGUGAUGUUGGAAAAGGCAUGAAUGAAAGGAAGGAGAUGAAAAUGGAAGUAUGAAAUGGAGAUAGUGAGAUGUUGACUUGAGUGGUGCUAGGUAGAGAGAAAAGAGCAUUGGUCUUUUGGAGAGGAGAAAAAGGGAAUAAGCUGAUGGUUGUGUAAAAG
rnacentral:misc_RNA from 1 species